rnacentral:misc_RNA from 1 species
AAGGAUCAUUAUUGAAUAAACCUGAUGUGGUUGUAGCUGGCUCUUUCGGGAGUAUGUGCACGCCCAUCAUCUUUAUAUCUCCACCUGUGCACCUUUUGUAGACGUGAAGGAUUGAGAAAUCAAUCGUUUGUGUUUACGUUUUAUCAUAUACCCCAUAGUAUGUAUUAGAAUGAAUCAAUGGGCUUUGUGCCUAUAAACAUUAUACAACUUUCAGCAACGGAUCUCUUGGCUCUC